rnacentral:rRNA from 1 species
UCCCCCAGUAACGGCGAGUGAAGAGGGAACAGCCCAAAUUUGUAAUCUGGCCCUUUCAGGGUCCGAGUUGUAAUCUCGAGAACUGUUUUCCGUGCUAGACCGUGUACAAGUCUGUUGGAAUAUAGCUUCAUAGAGGGUGAGAAUCCCGUACAUGACGCGGACUACUAGUACAUUGUGAUACAGUCUCUAAGAGUCGAGUUGUUUGGGAAUGCAGCUCAAAUCGGGUGGUAAAUUCCAUCUAAGGCUAAAUAUUGGCGAGAGACCGAUAGCGAACAAGUACCGUGAGGGAAAGAUGAAAAGCACUUUGGAAAGAGAGUUAACAGUACGUGAAAUUGUUGAAAGGGAAACGAUUGAAGUCAGUCUUGAUCCUUGUUGUUCAUCCUCACGGAGUAUUCAACUUUGAUCAGGCCAACAUCAGUUUUAGACGCCGGAUAAGGGUAGAGGAAAUGUAGCAACUUCGGUUGUGUUAUAGCCCUUUACUUGAUACGGCGUCCAAGACUGAGGAACGCAGUGAGCCUUUUGGCGAGUCUUCGGACUUUCUCACUUUGGAUGUUGGCGUAUGGCUUUAAACGACCGUCUUGAAAC